rnacentral:rRNA from 1 species
ACGGGGCGCAGCAGGCGCGAAACCUUUACACUGCACGCAAGUGCGAUAAGGGGACCCCAAGUGCGAGGGCAUACAGUCCUCGCUUUUCGUGACCGUAAGAAGGUCUCAGAAUAAGAGCUGGGCAAGACCGGUGCCAGCCGCCGCGGUAAUACCGGCAGCUCGAGUGAUAGCCACUAUUAUUGGGCCUAAAGCGUCCGUAGCCGGCCGAACAGGUCCGUCGGGAAAUCCACCCGCUCAACGGGUGGACGUCCGGCGGAAACCAGUCGGCUUGGGGCCGGGAGACCAGAGAGGUACGUCCGGGGUAGGAGUGAAAUCCUGUAAUCCUGGACGGACCACCGGUAGCGAAAGCGUCUCUGGAGAACGGACCCGACGGUGAGGGACGAAAGCUUGGGUCUCGAACCGGAUUAGAUACCCGGGUAGUCCAAGCUGUAAACGAUGCUCGCUAGGUGUGGCGUUGGCUACGAGCCAGCACUGUGCCGUAGGGAAGCCGAGAAGCGAGCCGCCUGGGAAGUACGUCCGCAAGGAUGAAACUUAAAGGAAUUGGCGGG